UAUUGAUUACACUUUUUUUUUUUUAGCUUUGUGAAGUAAUUAAUAAGUUCAAAAUAAGUUCCUACUCGACAGAGUAUGCGAUUUCGGACGCAGCCAUAGUGUAUAGUGCAUCAUUUGGGACACAAUUACAGACUACCAUUGUAAGUGCACUACAAAGUUUAAGUUUUUCUCAAGUGAAAAUAAUUUUGCACACAUUUAAGCUGCAGUAGAGAUCUAUAAUUUGCAGUUUAUGGAAGUAAAACAGUUCUGUGUGUUUGUGUCCUGAUUAAAGUAUCGAUCUAGUGAGUUUUUGAGGAAAAAGGGAAGUAUCCUUAUCUGAGAAAGUUCAAUUGCUGUUGCACAUAAAUCCUUUGAUAUUUUCAGUUAUCUUUCUUUGGCUUUAGACUGAAGAGUAAAAGUAAACACCUCAAAUUUGACGUUUUCGUGCUUUUAGUUUAAGAAACUGCAGCAUAAAUUGCUGUGUUUUUAUUAAGCCACAUAUAAAACCAUUUUUAUCACUUGUGCAUGUCUCAUCUACGCAAUCCUAUUCCCUUCUCAUUAAUGUCAGAUUAAACCUUAAAUAGUAUUCUAAUAAAACACUUACUGUCACCAUUAGACGUUAUUAAAUCUUAUAUGUAUUGAAGUGUUAGACAGUAAUUUACUCUAAUGUGUAAGCUUUGGUUAAAGUGAAGGGACAGUAACAUUAAAUCUAGACGUCAGAGGAAAACUGAAAACUGAAUAUAAAACAAAGUUUCAUCAACAUGCAAAGCAACAGACACGGUUACCUAAAUCAGCGGUGGGUCGAAAAAAGCAGAGUAAAAACAAUGCUAAAUGCUAAUAAUAAAAUACAACUAACCAUAUCAUCAAAGCAAACAAUUUUCCCAUAUCAUUUUAUUGCAAUUUCAAAGGCAUAUUUUUGCUGCUUUUGUUUUAGGCUGGUAACUUCUGCUGUCGUUUAUGCAUUUAAAAAAUGAUCACAAUAACAUUUGUGAUAUAUCUGACAAUUUUGCAUGUUGUUGAGGUUAGUGUUAUGCCAUGUAUGAAAACACUCUAAAAAUGACAUAAAACCCUCCAGCUGUAACUAACCAAUACAUUCUGUAGUGUGUUUUUGAGUGUGUUUGAUCACAGAUGGCUGACGGAACCGGUGCAGCUGUUGCACACGCCUGCCAUACUCUUACGGAGAUUGGUUUUGGCUCACCCGGGGCAGUUAUACGACAGCAGGAGGGCAUUAUGGGUAAAUGGUCAUGUGGUGUGAUCUGUUACAUGAACAUCUUUCACAGUGAGGGUGUUUGUUUACCUCUGUGUCAUGGUGUAGAUUUUGAUUACAGGUUCACACACACAAACAGCAGCUUACUCAUCUACCCACGUGGAAAUGAUUCAAAAUAAUACUGAUUUUCAACUUCAGUGAAUUUAAACAGGAUUAUUUACAUCAUAAAUAAAGGGAGAAGUGGUUGACCUUUUAAAAGGGAUUUCCAGAAAAUAUUCAGUCACAGUCUGUUGAUGUUCAUCUUACACAACACUUUCACUGCAAUUCAUUACUAUUUUACAUUUUGGAGAAUUGGUAUGAAUUUUUACGAUCCCAUUUGUUAGUUUUUGUACGAUCUAACAACCCAAAUGGUUAUAUUUUCUCAUGAAAUCGAGUUGUAGGCAACUCAUAUUGUCUUUUGCCAUGUCUACCACAUUUAAGACAAACAACUAAGUUUUUAAUCAUGUUUUAAAAGUGUGACAUAAAUCUUUGCCUAUGUACAGCAGUGUCAAACAAUUCAAGAAGGUUGUUGUUGAUGUUUAGCAAAAAAAGUGACUUUAAACAGUCCUUUUUAAAAACUUGUAUAAUAUAUAUAUAUUUAAACUUCUGCAGUCAUCCACAAAAAACUGGGAAAAAAAUCACUGAAGCUCAUUGAAAACUGUCACUGAUCUAGCGGAGAUGUGCUCCCCUGUCAUUUCUCAUUUCCACAAUCACAAAAUUUGUGAUGGAAAUGUUGAGAAUUUGUAAUACUUUUCAUUUUACAAAUUUUACACAUAAAUUUAGGUUUGUAAGGAGGAAGUGCAAAGUUGAAUAUUCCUGAUUUUUUACUAUUUUUAUAGGCUAUUUAUUAUAAAAAAGAAAGUUUGGCUACUUUCAUACUUCCCUGGGUAAUUGUUUCAAAGGCACUUGACUCCCUCUAUUGGUUGCCUACUAGAUGUAUAGGCAGCAUUAGGAAUAUGAUCAAGAAAAUUCUUUUGAGAUUCUUUGAUUUGAACACAAAAAUAUUAUCUGAAAAUGUAAAGUUUUACUCGCUAUCUUGGCAAAUAUGAGCACAGUUUGAGACAUUGUUGAGACCUCCAGGAGAGGAGACACAUGUGAGAUAACUGGGGUAUUUUUCUCAGGCCGGUUGUAAGAAUAGUGUUAGUAGUUUAUGCAAGUUAGCCAUCUAUUUUUUUCAUUCUUCUUUAAGACUGAUCAUAACUUUUAAAUCAUCCAUAUUAAAAACAUAGACUGGUCCAAUUUGAAUCCGAAAAGUAAGACUGAUCCCCUUGGCUAACUGCUAGUUGGUCAAUUCUGUCCUUCACAGCCUCGCUUUCAAACCUGUCAUGGCGCUGCUCUGAAUAAGGUCUAUUACCGCUGCUCUGCAAAAUCCAGUCAUUCCAAUAGGAAUCUGUGCGAUCAGGAGUUUCGCUUUUGGGGGCGAAUGUGAAUUUGCCGCGCUGGCGAACGUUGCUUGGUUUGAAAGUGACUUCUGGGAGCAGUGCUUAUACAUGGACCUUUUUUACAGGCGAAAUUUAGUGGAAAUAUCACUUACUUGACCGUGCCUUAAAGGGUUAGUUCAACCAAAAAUAAAAAUUCUGUCAUUAAUUACUCACCCUCAUGUCUGUAAGACCUUCAUUCAUUUUUGGAACACAAAUUAAGAUUUUUUUUUUUUAUGAAAUCCGAGAUCUUCUGUCCUCUCUAUAGACAGCAACGUCAUAACCAAUUUCAAGGCCCAGAAAGACAUCAUUAAAAUAGUGAAUGUGACUACAGUGGUUCAACCUUAAUGUUAUGAAGCGACGAGAAAACCUGGCAACCCUGCCCUGCUUAUCAUAUACAUGCCUGCCGAUGUGCUUCAUUUUAAUAUCCUGCUUAAUUUACGACUUAAAAUAUUCUAGAUAAUCCGAAAAUGUGUUGCAGAAUGAUGAACACAUUUAUAAUUUAUUACUAAUUCAGUGUAUAUACACAUAGAGGUCUAUGUUUGGAUGAAUAUUUUGCCUACAGAGGAGCCACAGCUGAACUUCAACGUGUUUUCAAUGGCAUUCGCUGUAUAAAGCUCCUAUUUCACUUAUAAUUUUCCACAGCUCAAGUUUUUUGUCUACUGAAAAUUCUUGGAAAGAUUUUUUUAGUGUUUCUUCAGUAGAACAAUCCAAAAACACAUUAAUUAACAGCAUACAACCCACUGCUACCCCUCACAGCCUCGCUUUCAUUUACUGUUAAAAAUCAAAGAUGGCGCUGGGUACCACUUGUCUGUUGUGGCCGCGCCUUGACAUGGUGGGUGUGUUUGUUAUGUAACUUCAGAAAAGUCUGCAUUUAAUCUAAAUGAACUGAGCUUAGCUGGUAGGAAAUGUAAAUUGAAUAUUUCAAAAAGACACCAGCCCAAAAUUACACUCAACAAUCAUUCUGAAUAUCUAUCACAGGCUCUAUGUUCCCUCACCAUUUCCAUCUCUCGCGCCGCUCACAAUAUCAUCAACUCGCACGUCAUUUGAACCCUCUCGGAUAUGGUAAAUCACGCCAGUGUUGUAAUUCCCGCAGUAUUCCCCGGUUCACUAACCGCAUUUUAUCUCCCCCUUACUGUGUAUUAUUAUAAAAUAUAUCUAAACAGCUAUAAAAAGAGGUCGUGCCAGCUGUCUCCGCCGUUCACCAUCUCAUUCUUAACAGAAACAAAUGUGUUUAAUAACCUCUGAGAAAGCUUUAGCGCUCGUUAUCAUAAAAAAAACAGACUAAACGUAUAAACCCGAUUAGAGUCAAUGAUGCGGUUUAAAAAGCGACUGUGAUUCACUGCAGUUGUUUAAGAGUUGGGUCUGUAAAAGAGGAACGAGAGCUUCAUUUGAGUCAUCUGUUGAUAAUGUCCUCAUCUUCACGCUAAACUACUGAAGGACAAUUAAAAAUACACUUUUUUUAAACGUACAUACACGUCAUUGGGCAUAAACUUUGGCAUUACGGGCUGUAUUGAGAAAUUGUAAUAAUAGGCCUAUAACAUAAACGAAAUAUUUUCCAAAUAGCCUAUUUUUCGCAUAUAGCUAUUAAUUUUAACAGUAGGCUAAAAUAUGAUAAAAAAUAAAUAGGCCUUUUUUUGUUGUUGUUGUUGUUUUUUUUUACAUGAAAAUAUAGCUGCCUUUAAAUUUCAGGAUGGGGGACCCUGGUACCAGGAUGAUCAUGGGGGUCCAUGGCAUCUAAAAGAUUGAAAACCCCUGUAGGACCCCUGACUGGGUUUUCAAAGCGCUUCAUUUUUUAUUAAUUAAAAUCUCUGCACUUCUUCAAUUGACUCAAUAUAUGACUUCACAGCGCCAGCCACUGGUGGACAUAAGAUACUGCAUGUGGAAAAUUGGGUUUAUUUUACUAAAAAAUCUACUCACCUUUGCUAAUAUCUUGUGUGUAUUGUGAACAUGUUAAAAUGCAUGAACACUGCUAGUGCUAAGAAAGAAAACAAGAUUUAUACAGUGGGAAAUGAUUUAGUCGAUUUCUCACAAAAUGCUAUAAAACGACUUUGAAUAUAGUGCAAGUUAUCAUUUUUAUGAUAUUUAAACCAAAAUACCACAUGACUGUGUCACUUUCAUUGCAGCAUGGAAGCCAUUAGCUUGCUAAGCUAACUCUGCUAACCACCCUUAUCCUUUUGUUUUCCACAGACAAAAUAACAUCACGUUUUGAACAAAAUAAGGUUGAGUAGAUGAUGCCAGAACUUUAUUUUUAGGUGAACUUUACCUAGUUAUACACUCAGUUUUGUAUUUUAAAAAUAAAAUGUGAGUGUUUGUUUACUGCCAAAAUGCUAGUGUGUGGGUGGUUGCGAUACUGUUGCUAUAGGUCCAGUUUUAACAUCCAACAGAUGAAAUAUAUUUGCUUAGUGUAAUAGCAGACCUUGAUUUUAGGUAUAAUUGUAGCACAAAUAGUGCUGAACUGGUUUUGUGCCAGUGUUUAAUAUUUAUAGGGGUUUGUUUAAAUCCUUAAUAAGUAUGAGCAAUAGCGAUGUUGUAAUGUGUGUGUUAGAAAUACUGGCUGAUUCUUAGUUACUGAGCAAUUCACUGAACCAUAAUCAUGAUAUUUGUAUGUGUUUGUAUGACCCAUAAUCUCCUUUCUCUUCAACAUGGCUUUUCCUUCCUCAUUGAUUUAUUUGCAAUCUCAACAAUAUCAAACAAGUGAGGAAACCAAUUCCUUUGCCCCCUCAACCUGUUCUCCACCAAUUAAGGAAGUCAUCACUGUUAAUCAUAUUUAUCUUUAUGAGCAUGGGUGCAUCACAUUAAAUGUAGGAAAACUGUUGGCAAAUAGCUAAUGAAAAAGCAAAUAGUGAGGCCAAUAAAACUCACUUGGAAUAGGACUUUAUGAUAUCUUGGUGACGUUUCACAAUCAAUGAUUUUGGGGUACAAAAAGGAUGGGAAUAAAAAAACCAGAUAAGAACCGCUGAAGAACUGCUAGACCGCCACCAGAGCUUCAAACCGAGGGUGUGGAAAUGUCUCUUCUCACAAGUCUGACACAGGUGUCCAUCCUUGCGAUACUUCUCAUCCAGUGCGCGACCAGCCUUCCAGUUCUUGGCAGGUAUCUCGGAGAAGAGGACAGCAUCCCAAGAACAGAUAUCUUUUCUCCCAGAAAUGUGUUGUUUCCCAGGGAUGAUGCGGAUACGUUUGUUGCAGACCAAGGCGGGAGAUCUGGGCUUCAGACGAGGCAGUUGGGCGACAUUGAGUUCACAAAUAGAUAUGCUGAACUCCUGAAAUCUAAAGCUAAAAUCACAUCCAUCUGCGCCUUCCUGAAACGCAUGCAGAACAGCAAGAAAAGUGGCGUCGGUGGAGAUUCAGACAGAUUGAUUUUCCUGUUGAGACAGUAUUCAUGUCCAAACAUGUACCAGUGAAGACUGUGUCCAAAGAAACCAACUUCACAAUGUCUGAAUCAGUUUUAACAUGUUUGAGACAAACUGUUUGUAUAUAUUUGAAUAAAUAAUGACAUUUUUCCCACUCCAAACGUGUCACAAAAAGUACAGAUUGAAAUGUAGUCAUAACCAAAUGACUUUUCUCAGAUGCAAAUUAAACUCUGGAUUUGA